UACGUAGGUGGCAAGCGUUAUCCGGAAUUACUGGGCGUAAAGCGCACGCAGGCGGUCUGCUAAGUUUGGAGUGACAGUUGGUGGCUUAACUGCCAAAGUGCUUCGAAAACUGACAGACUUGAGGGCUUCAGAGGGACACGGAAUUCCGGGUGGAGUGGUGAAAUGCGUAGAGAUCCGGAGGAACACCAAAGGCGAAGGCAGUGUCCUGGGGAGUACCUGACGCUCAGGUGCGAAAGCCAGGGGAGCGAACGGG
rnacentral:rRNA from 1 species